AUAUCAAUAAGCGGAGGAAAAGAAACCAACAGGGAUUGCCCUAGUAACGGCGAGUGAAGCGGCAACAGCUCAAAUUUGAAAGCUGGCCUUCGGGUCCGCAUUGUAAUUUGUAGAGGAUGCUUUGGGUGAAACGCCAGUCUAAGUUCCUUGGAACAGGACGUCAUAGAGGGUGAGAAUCCCGUAUGUGACUGGAAAUGUUAACCUAUGUAAAGCUCCUUCGACGAGUCGAGUUGUUUGGGAAUGCAGCUCUAAAUGGGAGGUAAAUUUCUUCUAAAGCUAAAUAUUGGCGAGAGACCGAUAGCGCACAAGUAGAGUGAUCGAAAGAUGAAAAGCACUUUGGAAAGAGAGUUAAAAAGCACGUGAAAUUGUUGAAAGGGAAGCGCUUGCAAUCAGACUUGUUUAAACUGUUCGGCCGGUCUUCUGACCGGUUUACUCAGUUUGGACAGGCCAGCAUCAGUUUCGGCGGCCGGAUAAAGGCUCUGGGAAUGUGGCCUUCACUUCGGUGAAGGUGUUAUAGCCCAGGGUGUAAUACGGCCAGCCGGGACUGAGGUCCGCGCUUCGGCUAGGAUGCUGGCGUAAUGGUUGUAAGCGAC
rnacentral:rRNA from 1 species